rnacentral:misc_RNA from 1 species
GUAGGUGAACCUGCGGAAGGAUCAUUAACACAAUACAUUUACCCAAAUGUAUUUUCACCCCAUUGUGCAAACUUGUUUUCCAGUCUUCCCGGACGCGCUCUGUUUUUGCUUGAACUAGUAGGAAGAGAGUUGCGUCUGUUGGUUUUCAACUUUAUUUAACCCCUUGAACUGUCUAUGACUGACAUCUGAGCAAGAAUCAAACUUCACAGUUUGUUCUUCCUCUGCCAUAUAUCAAACGCUGAACAACUCUUAGCAACGGAUAUCUUGGCUCUC